CUUAAAACUGGCAAGGAAGUUCCGACACUUAAUGGCGUGAACUGUGUCCUUUUUGCUUGAUUCUUGUAUAACACUCCCUGAAACAUCCGUCGCAGUAUAUUUUUUACGAUGUUUCAACAUUUUGAGACUAUAUAAGCUGACGCCUAGACAGUUGGUCUUCAAUUCACGUUUAGCAGUAAGCACAUAAAGAUUUUCAUUUACUUAUAAUUUUACUCAGUCACCGCCAUGGAAUCAGUUUGUCAACUCGUCUACCAAGUUUCUGUCUUGGCUGUGGUUUCCAUAAUCCAAGCGGCGUAUGCCCAGUACUGGGACGAUCAGAACAACGGUGAUUUCCUGUCCGAAAAUUAUAGAUAUCUCCAAGGAUAUCGUGUAUAAGGGUUUGACGACUGCUAUUGGGCCGGUGACGAAUGGAAAUGUACAAAUGAACACUAAUCAGCGAGCAGUUUUAUAAUCAAUUAUCUAUAUUUAUCAAACAUUGUUCACGGCAAAUGCUUUUGUUGUUCAAGACAAUAAACAAUUGGUCCUUCUAA